rnacentral:rRNA from 1 species
AGCAGCCGCGGUAAUUCCAGCUCCAAUAGCGUAUAUUAAAGUUGUUGCAGUUAAAAAGCUCGUAGUUGAAUUUCGGGAUCAAUUUAUUGGUCGUGCUAUUGUACGUACUGGUAUUAUUGAUUCCUACCUUCUGACGAACCAUGAUGUCAUUAAUUUGGUGUCAUGGGGAAUCAGGACUGUUACUUUGAAAAAAUUAGAGUGUUUAAAGCAGGCUCACGCUUGAAUACAUUAGCAUGGAAUAACGAAAUAGGACGUUUGAUUCUAUUUUGUUGGUUUCUAGGAUCGACGUAAUGAUUAAUAGGGAUAGUUGGGGGCAUUAGUAUUCAAUUGUCAGAGGUGAAAUUCUUGGAUUUAUUGAAGACUAACUACUGCGAAAGCAUUUGCCAAGGAUGUUUUCAUUAAUCAAGAACGAAAGUUAGGGGAUCGAAGACGAUCAGAUACCGUCGUAGUCUUAACC